rnacentral:rRNA from 1 species
UGGGGAAUAUUGCACAAUGGGCGCAAGCCUGAUGCAGCCAUGCCGCGUGUGUGAAGAAGGCCUUCGGGUUGUAAAGCACUUUCAGCGAGGAGGAAGAUGGUGAGCUUAAUACGCUCAUCAAUUGACGUUACUCGCAGAAGAAGCACCGGCUAACUCCGUGCCAGCAGCCGCGGUAAUACGGAGGGUGCAAGCGUUAAUCGGAAUUACUGGGCGUAAAGCGCACGCAGGCGGUUUGUUAAGUCAGAUGUGAAAUCCCCGGGCUCAACCUGGGAACUGCAUUUGAAACUGGCAAGCUAGAGUCUCGUAGAGGGGGGUAGAAUUCCAGGUGUAGCGGUGAAAUGCGUAGAGAUCUGGAGGAAUACCGGUGGCGAAGGCGGCCCCCUGGACGAAGACUGACGCUCAGGCUGCGAAAGGCGUGGGGCAGCAAACAGGAUUAGAUACCCUGGUAGUCCACGCUGUAAACGAUGUCGAUUUUGGAGGUUGUGCCCCUUGAGGCGUGGCUUCCGGAGCUAACGCGUUAAAUCGACCG